AGAGUUUGAUCCUGGCUCAGGAUGAACGCUGGCGGCGUGCCUAAUACAUGCAAGUCGAGCGAACGGACGAGAAGCUUGCUUCUCUGAUGUUAGCGGCGGACGGGUGAGUAACACGUGGAUAACCUACCUAUAAGACUGGGAUAACUUCGGGAAACCGGAGCUAAUACCGGAUAAUAUUUUGAACCGCAUGGUUCAAAAGUGAAAGACGGUCUUGCUGUCACUUAUAGAUGGAUCCGCGCUGCAUUAGCUAGUUGGUAAGGUAACGGCUUACCAAGGCAACGAUGCAUAGCCGACCUGAGAGGGUGAUCGGCCACACUGGAACUGAGACACGGUCCAGACUCCUACGGGAGGCAGCAGUAGGGAAUCUUCCGCAAUGGGCGAAAGCCUGACGGAGCAACGCCGCGUGAGUGAUGAAGGUCUUCGGAUCGUAAAACUUUGUUAUUAGGGAAGAACAUAUGUGUAAGUAACUGUGCACAUCUUGACGGUACCUAAUCAGAAAGCCACGGCUAACUACGUGCCAGCAGCCGCGGUAAUACGUAGGUGGCAAGCGUUAUCCGGAAUUAUUGGGCGUAAAGCGCGCGUAGGCGGUUUUUUAAGUCUGAUGUGAAAGCCCACGGCUCAACCGUGGAGGGUCAUUGGAAACUGGAAAACUUGAGUGCAGAAGAGGAAAGUGGAAUUCCAUGUGUAGCGGUGAAAUGCGCAGAGAUAUGGAGGAACACCAGUGGCGAAGGCGACUUUCUGGUCUGUAACUGACGCUGAUGUGCGAAAGCGUGGGGAUCAAACAGGAUUAGAUACCCUGGUAGUCCACGCCGUAAACGAUGAGUGCUAAGUGUUAGGGGGUUUCCGCCCCUUAGUGCUGCAGCUAACGCAUUAAGCACUCCGCCUGGGGAGUACGACCGCAAGGUUGAAACUCAAAGGAAUUGACGGGGACCCGCACAAGCGGUGGAGCAUGUGGUUUAAUUCGAAGCAACGCGAAGAACCUUACCAAAUCUUGACAUCCUUUGACAACUCUAGAGAUAGAGCCUUCCCCUUCGGGGGACAAAGUGACAGGUGGUGCAUGGUUGUCGUCAGCUCGUGUCGUGAGAUGUUGGGUUAAGUCCCGCAACGAGCGCAACCCUUAAGCUUAGUUGCCAUCAUUAAGUUGGGCACUCUAAGUUGACUGCCGGUGACAAACCGGAGGAAGGUGGGGAUGACGUCAAAUCAUCAUGCCCCUUAUGAUUUGGGCUACACACGUGCUACAAUGGACAAUACAAAGGGCAGCGAAACCGCGAGGUCAAGCAAAUCCCAUAAAGUUGUUCUCAGUUCGGAUUGUAGUCUGCAACUCGACUACAUGAAGCUGGAAUCGCUAGUAAUCGUAGAUCAGCAUGCUACGGUGAAUACGUUCCCGGGUCUUGUACACACCGCCCGUCACACCACGAGAGUUUGUAACACCCGAAGCCGGUGGAGUAACCUUUUAGGAGCUAGCCGUCGAAGGUGGGACAAAUGAUUGGGGUGAAGUCGUAACAAGGUAGCCGUAUCGGAAGGUGCGGCUGGAUCACCU
rnacentral:rRNA from 1 species